UGUAGAUAGUUUGCUUCGCGCCGGCAUACAGCACACAAUUAAAUUAUCAGAUAAUUUAGAAAGAUCUCAAUUUAAACUUGAAUAUACUUGGAUAUAACCGUAAAGUUAUUUUCUUUUACAUUAGAUUGUUCGUAAAUUUUGACAUAAAACUGAUAAUCAAAUAAUCAGAAAUGGUUUCUUUUGUCUAAUUAAUUUGGAAUAUCCCGAUUGAUCAUUUUGAGAAUGGGCAACUACUGUUUGUUGUCUUCGCCCGCUUUCCCACUUACUCAUACAAGAAUGCUUAUAAAUAGACGAGUUUUCUGCCAGACAAUGGGCGUUUGUACUAGUAUAAAGAGAGUCAAACUGAGAAUUAACGUUCCUGGACUCCUUCCUAUUUGUCGCUAACUAAUUGGGAAGAGAUGCUGCAGACUUUGUUCUCCUGAUGUCCUACUUGUUCAAAAGCGGAUUGAAAAGUUUUGUGCAUCUGCAGAGCAGCUUUGAGUUCUACAAAGAACACAGUUUGGUCGUCUGAAGAAUUAAGUAUGUUUUCGUUUAGAAGGUCACCCUAAGAUUUCAGAAAGCCUCAUCUCCAGUCUAUUAUGACGGGAAGGUGCUAUUUAUCAGAAGAAGAAUAUCCUAGUAUGGAUUAGUUACAUGAAGGCAAAAUAAGCUAGAACUACCAAACGAAGGGAAAUGUUGAUGCAUUCGUAGAAAAUGUCCUAGGAAAACGGCCUCUUAGGCAACUAACCCAUUUUCCGGAAUUUGGAUCCACAACGAAUUUUCAAUGCUCAGUAGUUUUUACCACUCAGACAUUAAAGGUCAUGAUACCUUUUCUGCACAGAUUUAUAUCUUUUCUCAAACACUUUAGUGUCACUUGUUGGUCUUAGAGGUUCACUUGAUGAGGGUGUCUCAGUCACUCCACU